CCUACGGGAGGCAGCAGUGGGGAAUAUUGCGCAAUGGGCGAAAGCCUGACGCAGCGACGCCGUGUGAGGGAUGAAGGUCUUCGGAUCGUAAACCUCUGUCAGCAGGGAAGAAAGGUCACUGUGCUAAUCAGCAGUGAAUUGACGGUACCUGCAAAGGAAGCACCGGCUAACUCCGUGCCAGCAGCCGCGGUAAUACGGAGGGUGCGAGCGUUAAUCGGAAUUACUGGGCGUAAAGCGCUCGUAGGCGGUAUGUCAAGUCAAGGGGGAAAUCCCCGCGCUCAACGUGGGAACUGCCUUUGAAACUGGCAAACUGGAGUGUGUGAGAGGAUAGUGGAAUUCCAGGUGUAGGAGUGAAAUCCGUAGAUAUCUGGAGGAACAUCAGUGGCGAAGGCGACUAUCUGGCACAUAACUGACGCUGAGGAGCGAAAGCGUGGGUAGCAAACAGGAUUAGAUACCCGGGUAGUC
rnacentral:rRNA from 1 species